rnacentral:rRNA from 1 species
UUGAUCCUGGCUCAGGAUGAACGCUGGCGGCGUGCUUAACACAUGCAAGUCGAACGAUGACCCUGUGCUUGCACAGGUGAUUAGUGGCGAACGGGUGAGUAACACGUGAGUAACCUGCCCCUGACUCUGGGAUAAGCCCGGGAAACUGGGUCUAAUACUGGAUAUGCACCGUGGACCGCAUGGUCCUUGGUGGAAAGAUUUUUUGGUCAGGGAUGGACUCGCGGCCUAUCAGCUUGUUGGUGAGGUAAUGGCUCACCAAGGCGACGACGGGUAGCCGGCCUGAGAGGGUGACCGGCCACACUGGGACUGAGACACGGCCCAGACUCCUACGGGAGGCAGCAGUGGGGAAUAUUGCACAAUGGGCGAAAGCCUGAUGCAGCGACGCCGCGUGAGGGAUGACGGCCUUCGGGUU